UUUAGGUUGCUUUACAGGGAUCAAGUGGUAGAUCUUUAGGUUCUAUGACUUUAGGUAGCCUGGCAUUAGGUCAUGCUAGUAAAGGUUUCGGUUUUAGUUCUUUAGGCCAGAGUGAUCAUCCUAGUGUAUAUAUGCCCUCUCAGAUUGAGUUCAUCUAUAGGAGAUGCUUUGUAAGUGAUGAGGUUGUCUAUUUGGCCAAGUUUGACCAUGACAUGUGUAUGUACCUACUUAAAAAGUUUCUCAACAUUAGUUUUUCCCUACUCUGAUAUCUACAACAUGAGUUAGUUCCCAGAAUGGUGG
rnacentral:lncRNA from 1 species